CAUCACCAUGAACGGAAAGACCAUCGCUUUGCUUAAGGGGCUGCCAAGCCAUUGUUGACACCGGCACCUCUCUGCUGACCGGCCCAACCAGCCCCAUUGCCAACAUCCAAAGCGACAUCGGAGCCAGUGAGAACUCAGACGGCGAGAUGGUGGUCAGCUGCUCAGCCAUCAGCAGCCUGCCCCGACAUCGCUCUUCACCAUCAACGGAGUCCAGUACCCUUUGCCACCCAGUGCCUACAUCCUGCAGAGCCAGGGCAGCUGCACCAGCGGCUUCCAGGGCAUGGACGUCCCCACCGAAUCUGGAGAGCUUUGGAUCCUGGGUGAUGUCUUCAUCCGCCAGUACUUCACUGUCUUCGACAGGGCAAACAACCAGGUCGGCUCUGGCUCCCGUGGGCUUAAGCCCAGGUCUUUCCAGCCACCUCCCAGGAAGAUCUGACCUCCGGCCCCCGCCCACUUUAGAUGUAUCUAAUUCUCCUGACUGUCCUUCCCAGGGGAGUGUGGAGGUCUUGGUCCUGUUCCCUGUCUUACCAAUAAUGUAGAAUAAAACUUAACCUACUGAAACAGGUUUUAUGGAGCUGCUUCUUUGCUGGUCUUUUUCCUUCACAUCACUGGGGUUAGAACGCCAGGGCAGGGACCAAAAUGACCACAUCCACUUGGAUGGCAGCCAACAGAGUGACACCAGCAGCGGACACUUCAUGGUAG
rnacentral:lncRNA from 1 species